UGUAAUUGCGGGGUUCUAAGC
rnacentral:miRNA from 1 species